ensembl:lncRNA
ACAACAUACAACAAUUUCUAUGAUUUUAUUGAGUUUCAGUUCAUAUAAGGAAAUCAGUCAAUUGAAAUAAAUUCAUUAGGCCCUAAUCUAUGGAUUUUAGAUAACUAGGCAGGGGCGCAGCCAUGGGUGGGCCUGGAAUAGCAUAUGCUAAACCCACUGGAGAGCCAGGCCCAGUCAAUCAGAAUGAGUUUUUCCACACAAAAGGGCUUUAUUACAGACAGAAAUCCUCCUCAGUUUCAUCAGCUGUCCAGGUGGCUGGUCUCAGACGAUCCCGCAGGUGAAGAAGCCGGAUGUGGAGGUCUGGUGCUGGCGUGGUUACACGUGGUCUGUGGUUCGGAGGCUGGUUGGAAGUACUGCCAAAUUCUCUAAAACGAUGGCUUAUGGUAGAGAAAUGAACAUUCAAUUAUCUGGCAACAGCUCUGGUGGACAUUCCUACAGUCAGCGGAGGGAUUAUCUUGGCAAAGGAGAAAUGGUCACUAACAGGGAUGUAAACAAAUUUGUGCACAAAAUUUGAGAGAAAUAAGCUUUCUGUGCAUAUGGAAAAUGUCUGUGAUCUUUUAUUUCAGCUCAUGAAACAUGGAACCAACGCUUACAUGUUGCGUUUAUAUUUUUGUUCAUUGUAAAUGGAAUUACAUGUUUUAUGUUCCCCCAGUUUAUAGUCCCCCAGUUUUCAAAUCAGCUUGUAUGCUUCAUUUACUAUAUGGUUCAUUUUAAAGCUUUCCAGAGCAUAACUAUUAUGUUUUUUGAGAAAAACCUAAACUCAAAUCCUGUUCCCAGCAGCAGACUGAAAUGUGACAUGAUUCUGUGUGUUUAUUUGAGUGUGUUAACUAAUACAGUAUAUGUGCUUCAUUUGAGUGUGGAAGUGUGUGUGUACAUUUUCCAGUCUCCCAGAGUGACCCAUCAAUAACACUGGAGCAAGAUCAUUACUUUUAAUGUUGUGCCAUGGUAUUAAACCCUGUGUAUUAAACCAUAGACGCUUCAUCAUAACGUUGUUGAGACUUAGUGUACUCCUGGGUUUUUCAGGUGAGUUACAACCUGUAAUGUAAAACAUGUUUUGUUAAACAGCCUUGGCACAGAAACAGAUACAUGGACAUGUGUUUAUUGGCUGUUUUAGAGCACUGAGUAAUGCUGCUAUUUAGGGUGGUUUUGAGAAUGCACCAGGGAGGAUUUUAUGCAAUUUACCCACACUUUGCCCCCCUUCCCCCUCCCCCUAGAGGUGAAUUGGGGGUAAAUUUAAAAUACUAGGCCAACCUCAUUUAUCCCCCUUUCCUAGUGCCUGAGGUACAUAGAUACACACGCUCAAAAACACAUAUGUGCUUAUUCAAAAGCACAGUGAACAGGGUUUCUUCCUCUCGGUCCAGCUUGGAAGACUACAGGACAGUCUGGGAAUUAUAGGUUUCCUGGUUGUCUGAUAUGUUCACCAAAGUGUUAGAUAAACAUACAGCACAUACAAAAACAUACAGCUGAUAGACAUACUUGCAAUCAAGACAUUGGCUGAAACAUUUUUACAAGCUCCCAUUCACAACUGUACACAGCCUCGCACAGGCACCCUCACUGAUUCAGGGAGAGCCAUCACUAUUCAGCCCUUGAAAUGUCUUCGAUCAGAUUUACUAUUUUAAACUGUGCAUGGCCAGGCACUGUCACAAUGAUUAUAGCGCUGUGGAAAUACAUAUUUCCCAAGCUUAGUUUCUCUCUCCUCCCUCACCAUCUUUUACAGCUUAGAGACUAAUUCUGUUUGAAGCAAUCUGCUGCUAUUCCAGCACACAGUAUAUCUGUUUAUUCCAGGAAACUCCCUGCUUUAGUGUUGAAGAGGAGAGGAGCGGAGCAUACAAAAAGGACAGAACUAAAAAGUAAAAGAAUUGGUCAAAUCUAAAACAUUGUUGCAAGAGGAGUUAAUUUAGAUCAAGCAAAAAAAGAAAUCUAGCCAACCUACUUUUCCCUGUCUCCAUCCUGUCUCCCUCCUGUCUCCCCCCUGUCUCCCUCCUGUCUCCCUCCUGUCUCCCUCCUG